rnacentral:rRNA from 2 species
AUACAUGCAAGUCGAGCGAACUGAUUAGAAGCUUGCUUCUAUGACGUUAGCGGCGGACGGGUGAGUAACACGUGGGCAACCUGCCUGUAAGACUGGGAUAACUUCGGGAAACCGAAGCUAAUACCGGAUAGGAUCUUCUCCUUCAUGGGAGAUGAUUGAAAGAUGGUUUCGGCUAUCACUUACAGAUGGGCCCGCGGUGCAUUAGCUAGUUGGUGAGGUAACGGCUCACCAAGGCAACGAUGCAUAGCCGACCUGAGAGGGUGAUCGGCCACACUGGGACUGAGACACGGCCCAGACUCCUACGGGAGGCAGCAGUAGGGAAUCUUCCGCAAUGGACGAAAGUCUGACGGAGCAACGCCGCGUGAGUGAUGAAGGCUUUCGGGUCGUAAAACUCUGUUGUUAGGGAAGAACAAGUACAAGAGUAACUGCUCGUACCUUGACGGUACCUAACCAGAAAGCCACGGCUAACUACGUGCCAGCAGCCGCGGUAAUACGUAGGUGGCAAGCGUUAUCCGGAAUUAUUGGGCGUAAAGCGCGCGCAGGCGGUUUCUUAAGUCUGAUGUGAAAGCCCACGGCUCAACCGUGGAGGGUCAUUGGAAACUGGGGAACUUGAGUGCAAAAGAAAAAAGCGGAAUUCCACGUGUAGCGGUGAAAUGCGUAGAGAUGUGGAGGAACACCAGGGGCGAAGGCGGUUUUUUGGUCUGUAACUGACACUGAGGCGCUUAGUAGUUCCCCACCC